rnacentral:rRNA from 1 species
AGUGAACGCUGGCGGUAGGCCUAACACAUGCAAGUCGAACGGCAGCACAGUAAGAGCUUGCUCUUACGGGUGGCGCGUGGCGGACGGGUGAGGAAUACAUCGGAAUCUACUUUUUCGUGGGGGAUAACGUAGGGAAACUUACGCUAAUACCGCAUACGACCUACGGGUGAAAGCAGGGGAUCUUCGGCCCUUGCGCGAUUGAAUGAGCCGAUGUCGGAUUAGCUAGUUGGCGGGGUAAAGGCCCACCAAGGCGACGAUCCGUAGCUGGUCUGAGAGGAUGAUCAGCCACACUGGAACUGAGACACGGUCCAGACUCCUACGGGAGGCAGCAGUGGGGAAUAUUGGACAAUGGGCGCAAGCCUGAUCCAGCCAUACCGCGUGGGUGAAGAAGGCCUUCGGGUUGUAAAGCCCUUUUGUUGGGAAAGAAAAGCAGCAGGUUAAUACCCCGCUGUUCUGACGGUACCCAAAGAAUAAGCACCGGCUAACUUCGUG